UACAAGGGCUUGGGUCAUUU
rnacentral:misc_RNA from 1 species